UACGUAGGGUGCGAGCGUUGUCCGGAAUUAUUGGGCGUAAAGGGCUCGUAGGCGCCUUCUAAGUCGAACGUGAAAUCCCCGGGCUCAACCCGGGAACUGCGUCCGAUACUGGAAGGCUUGAAUCCGGGAGAGGGAUGCGGAAUUCCAGGUGUAGCGGUGAAAUGCGUAGAUAUCAUGAGGAAUACCAGAGGCGAAGGCGGCUACCUGGACAAUUGCUGACGCUCAGGCACGAAAGCGUGGGGAGCAAAAGGG
rnacentral:rRNA from 1 species